CUGGAAUGUUAGCAAGCUAUUUGCUGGAAAAAAUGCCCACAACAGGCCUAAUGUUGAUCACAUUAAUGCGUUUGAGUGAGUAUGGAGUGCAAAUGAUUGAAAAUGCUUCCAGAUCCCCGUUGCAAGGGACAAAGCAGGCUCUGUUCUCUGAUCUGAUGGUCAUUUUUUUUUCCAGCGGAGGAUGUGGGGCAGGAAGAGGGAAGAGGGCCAAUCUCUGUCUAAUGGUUCCAAACAGGGCCCGGGCCCGGCCCUCUGGAUGCUGACGAGUGGGAAAUGAAACACAGAUGGGUCAGAUGGGUAAGGAGAGGGGGAUUACAGGUCAGGCCAAAGAGUUGGAAUAAAUUAAGUGCUUAUGAGGUACAGAAUGGCACAUUGUUUAAGUGAAUGGACAGGGAAAAAACAUUCCAGCAUUGUUCAUCCGCCGAGGGAGCCCAACGCUCCUCUUCCCAGACGAGCCCAGGCCACAGAGCGCCUCCUCCUCGCCAGGAUGUUUGUGACCCACAGACUGAAAACGCGGCCAGGCGGUGCCCGAAACAUUAUCCUAGCCUCCAAAGAGGCCAGUUUGGCUUUAUUACACGGGAGAUGUAAUUUAUUGGGAGAAAUGUUUGGGUUCGUGUGUCGGAUGGUGGAGAGUCAGAUUUGGAGUUCCCUAGGGAUCUCCGAGGAGAAGAAGCAGAUGUUCACAAAGCAACUGACCAGGCCAGGUGUGUCCUUCAAGGCUACCUGCAUUCAACAGAGGCGACCACAGCCCAGACCCAUCCUUCUUGGGAGAAUUUCAAGAUGCUCCACAUAGUGGUGCCUAGCGCUCUGUGCACUCAGAGGCUAGAAGAAAAGAUACAGAGGUCCUCUUUCAAGGAGAGGCCCUGAUGUUUCUAUUCUUACAAGGAUUCUUUGGUAAUAAAUACAGUGAAAACACCGUCACCGUAGAGAUAAUACUUAAUGCUCAAGAGGUACGUAGCAGAGAUUGCAUUCCAAUCAAGGACUUCCGUAACCCUGUCUACCAAGCCAGUAUCACCUGUAGGCCAGUUCACCUUCAUCCAGUCACUUUACAGCACUUGAGUGUUUGCUGUCCGCUCAAUUAAAAUCCUACUCUGGUGGGAAAAACCAGAUUUCCAAAUGGGGACUUUAUUGAUUCAAUAAAAUUUAAGAAAUUCUGCUUAUGGAAAAACUCAUUAACCCAAACUAAUAAAUACGAGUUUACCCUGCAGUCUGGGUCCUCUUUAUUUGACAGAAUUAAAAAAUCACUCUGGAACAACUUAGUUCACUUUUCACUUGUUAAUGGAGCUUAAUAGUUCAGUAAUUCGCUUUCUGUUCUAAGCUGGCGAACUCUUCAUUCUUUCCGACACAACUUGCAUUCUCUUGCUCUCAACUUUACAGAGCCUGCGGGUUACAAAGAGGGUUCACAGAAGUGAAGAGCAGGGAGGAAGGGGGAAGGAAGGAGAACUUUUCCUCGGGCUGAUGUAAUGGCUCGAGGCUCAGCCCCUCCUAGAGGGUGGUGUCAAAUUGCAGGGCACUGUUAAGAUUCUUCAGCAAAGUUUCAAAUGCAAUGUCCCUGUGAGGGACAACGUUAUUAUCGCAUACAUGUCACAGCAAAUUUCCACUUCGGUUCAACAUCCUCUAAAAGAAACUGCAAAAAGCCAAAACUGCAUGUGCAGUGGACAAAACCUUCCCAUCAAUUUUGCCCUCUGGCACAAAGACUUUCCUUUGGAAGGCUGCUACUGUACAAAUGUUUGCUUAUUCUUAGUACAGAACUUAUGAUGUCAGUUUUUUUUUUAAAGCAAGAAUGUGUUAAAAGUAGUUGUGGCUGACUAUGGAUGUCUGAAGGUCUUCGGGAUAAAGUGCAGAGCUUGAGGGGCAACGUCAGAGUUUGUUGAGAUAUUUUUGUCACUGUUCAGUUUUCCCAACACCUCUGGAGAGAUGCCCCAACUGCACCUGUUGUAGCCAUAUAAAUCACACUCCAACCCACCUGCAUUCUCUGGACCAACCACUGCCCACCAAACAGUAAACCACUAGUCAGCUCUUAAUGUGAAAAUCUUAAAAGCUAGUUGUAAGUCAGUCUGAGUUGUUGAAUCUUUGAAAUAUGUCAUAUGGUUUAAUUGCUUAAUUUUCUAUCACUCCACAAUCCUUUUUUUCCCCUUAAUCUAUACUGACUUAGGAAGAAGGAUUUUUUUAUGCAGACAGGAACAUUCAAACUACUUCCACGUAUACAGAUAAAAGUAAAUAAUUGUUUCGUCUCUGGAUACAAACUGAGGAUUCUACUACUACCCCCAAAAGUGAAAAGAUGCACCUUAUGUUCAUAUUUAACACUAUUUAUAAUAGCCAAGACAUGGAAGCAACUUGAAUGUCCAUCAACAAUGGAUAAAGAAGAUGUAGAAUGUACAGACACACACACACACACACACACAAACACAAAUGGAAUACUACUCAGCCAUUAAAAAGAAUGAAAUAACGCCAUUUGUAGCAACAAGAAUGAACCUAGAGAUCAUCAUGUUAAGUGAAAUAUGUCAGAGGAAGACAAAUAUUACACGAUAUCGCUUAUAUAUGGAAUCUAAAAAAUAGUAAAAUGAACUUAUUUACAAAACAUAAAUAGACUCACAGACAUAGGGAAAAAAAUGCAUGGUUACCAAAGGGGAAGGUGGAACGGAAGGAAUAAAUUGGGAGUAUGGUAUUAACAUAUAUAAACUACCAUAUAUAAAAUAAACAACAAGGACCUACUGCAGAGCACCAGGAACUAUAUUCAGUACCUUGUAAUAAACUACCAUGAAAAAAUAGAAUCACUUUGCUGUACACCUGAAAUGAGCACAAUAUCGUAAGUCAACC
rnacentral:lncRNA from 1 species